UCCCUGGUGGUCCAGUGGUUAAGACUCCGUGCUUCCAAAGCAGGGUACACGGGUUCAAUCCCUGGUCAGGGAA
rnacentral:tRNA from 1 species